rnacentral:rRNA from 1 species
AACGUAGGAGACAAACGUUAUCCGGAGUUACUGGGCGUAAAGGGCGUGCAGGUGGUCUGUUAAGUCUGGCGUGAAAGCUCCUGGCUAAACCGGGAGAGGUCGUUGGAUACUGGCGGACUAGAGGACGGUAGAGGCGUGUGGAAUUCCGGGUGUAGUGGUGAAAUGCGCAGAUAUCAGGAGGAACACCGGUGGCGAAGGCGGAUCUCUGGGCCGUAACUGACGCUGAGGAGCGAAAGCAUGGGUAGCGAACAGG